CUGGCCAAAGUUGUCCAGUUGAGUGGGAGGAGUAGGAGAGCGGCUGGGUGGGCAUCUGGUAGUCAGCCAAGAUUGAAACCCAGUCAUGGUAUGGUCACUGCACAUGGACUGACUGGAGAACACAAGAAAAUACUGAAUAAUAUCAAUGAAAUCACCUAUCACUGAGUGCUGCCAGUGCAUGUUUUGCCUUGAGGCCAAAUUGCCAUAGAACAACUGAGACAUGAGGAAAACAUGAAAACUCAUCAUCCGUGAGGAUGAGACAGUCUUUUACUUGGAGCUAACAUUAUCUAUAGUUGAGGUGAUGUGAACAUGAGGAAUC